GAGGAAUAUUGGGCAAUGCCCGCAAGGGUGACCCAGCAACGCCGCGUGGAGGAUGAAUGUCGUAAGAUUGUAAACUCCUGUUAGAGGGGAGGAAUAGUACCGGUUGGACCGGUAUAUGACUGUACCCUCAGAGAAAGCCCCGGCUAACUACGUGCCAGCAGCCGCGGUAAUACGUAGGGGGCAAGCGUUGUCCGGAUUUACUGGGUGUAAAGGGCGCGCAGGCGGGAUAAAAAGUCAGUGGUGAAAUCCUACAGCUUAACUGUAGAACUGCCUUUGAUACUUUUAUUCUUGAGUGCGGGAGAGAGAGACGGAAUUCCAGGUGUAGUGGUGAAAUACGUAGAUAUCUGGAAGAACACCAGUUGCGAAGGCGGUCUCUUGGUCCGACACUGACGCUGAGGCGCGAAAGCGUGGGGAGCAAACA
rnacentral:rRNA from 1 species